rnacentral:rRNA from 1 species
UACCAGCACCCCGAGUGGUCGGGACGAUUAUUGGGCCUAAAGCAUCCGUAGCCGGUUUUACAAGUCCUCCGUUAAAUCCAGCUGCUUAACAGAUGGGCUGCGGAGGAUACUACAAGGCUAGGAGGCGGAAGAGGCAAGCGGUACUCAGUGGGUAGGGGUAAAAUCCUCUGAUCCAUUGGAGACCACCAGUGGCGAAGGCGGCUUGCCAAUACGCGCUCGACGGUGAGGGAUGAAAGCUGGGGGAGCAAACCGG